AAUGGGGACGGGGAUAGACAUAU
rnacentral:piRNA from 1 species